CAGCCGCCGCGGUAAUACGUAGGGUGCAAGCGUUAAUCGGAAUUACUGGGCGUAAAGCGUGCGCAGGCGGUUUGUUAAGACAGAUGUGAAAUCCCCGGGCUCAACCUGGGAACUGCAUUUGUGACUGGCAAGCUAGAGUCUGGCAGAGGGGGGUGGAAUUCCGCGUGUAGCAGUGAAAUGCGUAGAUAUGCGGAGGAACACCGAUGGCGAAGGCAGCCCCCUGGGCCAACACUGACGCUCAUGCACGAAAGCGUGGGGAGCAAACAGGAUUAGAUACCCGAGUAGUCCCUGUCUCUUAUAC
rnacentral:rRNA from 1 species